AGUGCAGUGAAUAGAAGACACUUCUCUGCACCCCAAAAGCUCCAUGCUGAUUGCGAGAAGGAAAUGCUGGAUGGAGGGGUUCCUGGAACUACUGUGAGGGUUUCUUUUGAUUUCUCCUGCUUAGAAAUGGUAACAGAACUUUGGAUGUGGAACGUGCAGUAGGAGUUACACGAAGUGCGGGUCUGCACUUGGGGUGGUCAGCACGGCGGAUGCCCAGCAAAGGCACUGCCUGGUCCACAUCCCGGAGUGGUCUCUACGCCCCAGUCGGCAUCGCAGCUGAUGGUGAAACUUUUGGUGUGGCAGAAGAGUGUCCACAAACUUUGGAAGAUCGCUGUUCAGAGUGAUGGAUGGAGUUGUAUUUUGAAUAAAAUAGCUAAGCAUCCUUUUGUGAGCAAGGAGCAUGAUGG
rnacentral:lncRNA from 1 species